ACAGGACCUGAUCUGCAGCUGGCUGGAGGAAGGAGCAAGUGGUUCCUGCAGUCUGCUGCUUCAGAAUAAAACGAAUCAUUGAAAACCUUGGGAGUCCAAGACCAUAAUCUGGGGCUGUGAAGGUUACACCACCUGUGGUCAGCUUAGUUGCACCAAGAUAAGGGAGCAGUGACAGGCAGCAGUAUAACCAUCAGGUUCCUGGUCUGCUAAGGUAAUAAACUGGGGGGUGUCUAACUC
rnacentral:lncRNA from 1 species